rnacentral:lncRNA from 12 species
UAUCAGGGAAAAUCCAGAAUUAUUUCAGCCUUAAAAAAAGGAAAAAAUCCUUUAAAAUUCGCACUGAGAAACACAAAAAUCCCCCAGAAAUAGCAGAAAAAAUUGACAGAAAAACUGCCAACAUCUGAACUAAAAAAACAAAAAACCCAGUGAGAUUCCAGGGAUUUCUGAGGAAAAAAAACUGGGGAAAUGAGUGGGCAAAAUAUCCGGAGGAAAUGUGACUUAAAAUGGACCAAAAACUCCUAAAAUGGGGCAAAACCUGCACUCGGCAUCCCAGCCCAGGGAAAACUCCUGGAAUUCAACCCUGAGCUGGCUCCAAGUGCUUCCCAAAGGGGAAAAUCGCUGCUGGGGGGGUUUGGUGGCUGCACCCCCCGGGGUGGGAGCUGCCCUGUGAGGGGAAUAAUUCCAUCCCAAAGUCCCAUUUAAAACUCAUCCACACGGGGAGCAGCUGAGGUUUGGGAAGUGCCCGGUGCCCAAGGGCACAAUCCCAUUCAAUUCCCGAAAUCCCAUCCCGUCCAAUGCCAUCCCAUUCAAUUCCCGAAAUAUCAUCCCAUCCAAUCCCAUCCCAUUCAAUUCCCAAAAUCCCAUCCCAUCCAAUUCCAUAUAAUCCCAUCCAAUUCCAUCCCAUCCCAUCCAAUUCCAUGUAAUACCAUCCAAUCCCACCCAAUCCCAAUCCAAUUCCCAUCCCAUCCCAUCCAAUUCCAUGUAAUACCAUCCAAUCCCAUCAAACCCCAAUCCCACCCAAUUCCAUAUUAUACCAUCCAAUUCCUUCCAACCCCAUCCAAUCCAAUUCCACCCAAUCCCAUCCCAUCCCAUAUAAUACCAUCCAAUUCCACCCAAUCCCAUCCCAUCCCAUCCAAUCCCACCCAAUCCCAAUCCAAUUCCAUCCAGUCCCAAUCCAAUCCCAUCCCAAUCCAACUCCAUCCCAUCCCAUCCAAUCCAAUCUCAUACAAUCCUAUCCCAUCCCAUUUUAUCCCAUCCCAUCCAAUCCCAUCCCAUCCUAUCCCAUCCCACUCCCUGCCCAGUGAGAUUCCAGAAAUUUUUGAGGAAAAAGCCGGGAAAAUGGGUGGGCAAAAUACCCGGAGGAAAUGCCACUUAAAACGGCCCCGAAAGCCUGGAAAUCACACCAAAAAUGGCCCCAAAAACCUCCUGAAAUCCACACUAAACCACCUAAACUCGGCCAAAAUUCCAAGGAUUUCUGGGAAAAGCAUCGGGAGCUGCCCCGCGAGGGGACAGCAGGAGCUGCCCUGUCCCCAAAGGCAGCGCCUGCGCUGCCACGGGGGGAGCAGCAGAUGGGGACACUGGCCUGAAAGAGCAGCUCCAUCAGCUGCAGCCAGCAGACCUUCUGCUUCCCCAAUUCCAA